rnacentral:lncRNA from 1 species
CCCGCAUUUUGAUAAUCAACACCAAAUCUAAUAGAUGAAUGUCAUCAAAUUUACUAAUGAUCUAUUUGGUGGCAUUCUGCUAAAUCUUGUUCAAUUGUUGGAGAGAAAGAACAGUGAAGGAGGAGGGAGAGAGAGAUCACAAGAUUAUAGCCCCAUUUGAACUAGAUGGAGAAACAAUUUUGAUUUUUUAUUACUGUUAUUAUUUUGUCGCG